AUUGAACGCUGGCGGCAUGCCUUACACAUGCAAGUCGAACGGCAGCGCGGGAGCAAUCCUGGUGGCGAGUGGCGAACGGGUGAGUAAUGUAUCGGAACGUGCCCAGUCGGGGGGGAUAACGUAGCGAAAGCUACGCUAAUACCGCAUACGAUCUGUGGAUGAAAGCGGGGGACCGUAAGGCCUCGCGCGAUUGGAGCGGCCGAUAUCAGAUUAGGUAGUUGGUGGGGUAAAGGCCUACCAAGCCGACGAUCUGUAGCUGGUCUGAGAGGACGACCAGCCACACUGGGACUGAGACACGGCCCAGACUCCUACGGGAGGCAGCAGUGGGGAAUUCUGGACAAUGGGCGCAAGCCUGAUCCAGCAAUGCCGCGUGCAGGAUGAAGGCCUUCGGGUUGUAAACUGCUUUUGUACGGAGCGAAAAGGCUCUCUCUAAUACAGGGGGCUCAUGACGGUACCGUAAGAAUAAGCACCGGCUAACUACGUGCCAGCCGCCGCCGUAA
rnacentral:rRNA from 1 species